rnacentral:lncRNA from 1 species
AUGUGUUGGGGACCACAGUGGGAGCACUACAACUCACCUGCAGGUGACAAGAAACUGCCAUGUCGUCUCCUCAAUGUCAUCUCUGUGUGUUGGGACCACGGUGUGACCUCCUCAACCAUUUGUGGGUGACAGGGACCACCAUGUCACCUCCUCAAUGCCAUCUCCAUCUGCUGGGACCACCGUGGGACCUCCACAACUGCCUACAGGUGACAGAGACCCCUGUGUCACCUCCUGAUGACCAUCUGUGUGUGUUGGGGACCACAGUGGGAGGACCAUAACCACCUACAGGUGACAGAGACCGCUGUGUCAUCUCAAUGUCAUCUCUGUGUUGGGCCCGCAGUGGGUCCUCCAAGUCCCUGUGGGUGACAGGGACCACCGUGUCACCUCCUCAUCACCUCCUCCUUGCAUUGGGACCACCGUGUGACCACCACAACCAUUUGUGGGUGACGGGGACCCCCGUGUCACCUCCUCGAUGCCAUCUCCAUCUGUUGGGACCACAGUGGGACCUCCACCACUGCCUACAAGCAACAGGGACCCCCGUGUCACCUCCUCGAUGCCAUCUCCAUCUGCUGGGACCACAGUGUGACCACCACAACCAUGUGUGGGUGACUGGGACCCCUGUGUCACCUCCUGGAUGCCAUCUCCAUCUGUUGGGACCACUGUGUGACCUCCACCACUGCCUACAGGUGCCAGGGAGCACCACAUCACCUCCUGAUGACCAUCUGUGUGUGUUGGGACCACAGUGGGUCCUCCAAGUACCUGUGGGUGACAGGGACCCCCUUGUCACCUCCUGAUCACCACCUCCAUGUGUUGGGACCACAGUGUGACCACCACGACCAUGUGUGGGUGACGGGGACCACCGUGCCCCCUCCUGGAUGCCAUCUCCGUGUGUUGGGACCACCGUGGGACCUCCACAGCCACCUACGGGUGACAAAAAAACACCGUGUCACCUCCUGAUCGCCAUCUCCGUGUGUUGGGGACCGCACUGGGACCUCCACAACCAUUUGUGGGUGACGGGGACCACCGUGUCACCUC